GACUCCCUCCCUUCCCUCCUGGGGACUCCCACAGCUCCACAGGCGUCUACACCAACUUACUUUCUACCUGGCAUUUCAUUUACAAAUGCAUCUUAUCUGCCAGGCUCAACUCUCAACCCCAGCUCCAUUCACUGGGGCAUGUCCUCCUUCCAUCUCCCAGGCCCCACUACGGGAAGUGUUUUCUUCCCAGGCUCUUAGUGCAGGAGCUAGACCCCCUCUCACCGCAGGGCAGCAGGGAUCCACUGGGGAUAGUUCCCUGGGGCCUUACCUCACUCCUCUGUUACCCCAGCCUUGACCCUGCAGGAGGCAGCGCAGGAUAUUUGUUCAAUGGAUUUUAAAAAUUAUUAUUCGCUAGAAAAAAGACCACGAACUUUGGAGUGGACAUCCUGAGACCUGCCUACGAAGACCAUUAGGUGGCCUCCAGAAGACACUCCUCUGAUUCCUACACCGAGGGAACACACAGCAGCAAGCUAGGAAAGAAGGGGUGACCCAGCCCAACGCUCUAAACCAGGGCGCGAACCGGCGUUGAGCUGUGCAGCUGCGCCCUGGGCUCCAGUCCUGCUCUGCCGCAGACCCCACCGGAGCCAGCACCUGCCUCCCCGACCCUCGCUGGGGAGGCUGUGAGAUGAGCCCAGAGCCUUCCUGAGCCAACCCUCGCAAGGAAAGUCCGUCUGUUCACCCCACUAUCCUUGUCUUGAAGGAUGAAGAAAAGAGAGCCCCCCGGGAGGUCCCAAAAGGUGGAAUGGACAUCUGGGAUCCAAGCACAGCAAUUUCUUUCUUUUUCUUACGGUAUCCAGCUUGUUGGAAUCUAAGAUCUGCGAAGGACACACAGGAAUCUGGGGGAUAUUAUGGUUCUGGGAAUGUGGAAUGUAACGUCUCAUCUUCAGCCCAUCUGUGCUACUGAUCGUCUCAUUCCAGAAGCCAUGCCUUCUCUCAGGAGCAGACUGCACAAGACUUUCCUGCCAGAGGCACAGUCCCCAG